rnacentral:misc_RNA from 1 species
UCUCCGAUGGUGAACCAGCGGAGGGAUCGUUACAGAGUUGCAAAACUCCCAAACCAUUGUGAACGUUACCUAUCCCGUUGCUUCGGCGGGCGGCCCGGGCCCCGCGCCCGGCGCCCCCCGGCCCCCCGUGGGCGCCCGCCGGAGGUAAACCAAACCCUUGAAUUGCCUGGCCUCUCUGAGUCUUCUGUACUGAAUAAGUCAAAACUUUCAACAACGGAUCUCUUGGUUCUG